ACUUAAAUUGAAGAGUUUGAUCAUGGCUCAGAUUGAACGCUGGCGGCAGGCCUAACACAUGCAAGUCGAGCGGUAGCACAGAGAGCUUGCUCUCGGGUGACGAGCGGCGGACGGGUGAGUAAUGUCUGGGAAACUGCCUGAUGGAGGGGGAUAACUACUGGAAACGGUAGCUAAUACCGCAUAACGUCGCAAGACCAAAGUGGGGGACCUUCGGGCCUCAUGCCAUCAGAUGUGCCCAGAUGGGAUUAGCUUGUAGGUGAGGUAACGGCUCACCUAGGCGACGAUCCCUAGCUGGUCUGAGAGGAUGACCAGCCACACUGGAACUGAGACACGGUCCAGACUCCUACGGGAGGCAGCAGUGGGGAAUAUUGCACAAUGGGCGCAAGCCUGAUG
rnacentral:rRNA from 1 species